UCAAUAAGCGGAGGAAAAGAAACCAACCGGGAUUGCCCUAGUAACGGCGAGUGAAGCGGCAAGAGCUCAAAUUUGAAAGCUGGCCCCCUCGGGGUCCGCAUUGUAAUUUGCAGAGGAUGCUUCGGGAGCGGUCCCCAUCUAAGUGCCCUGGAACGGGCCGUCAUAGAGGGUGAGAAUCCCGUAUGGGAUGGGGUGUCCGCGCCCGUGUGAAGCUCCUUCGACGAGUCGAGUUGUUUGGGAAUGCAGCUCUAAUUGGGUGGUAAAUUUCAUCUAAAGCUAAAUAUUGGCCGGAGACCGAUAGCGCACAAGUAGAGUGAUCGAAAGAUGAAAAGCACUUUGAAAAGAGAGUUAAACAGCACGUGAAAUUGUUGAAAGGGAAGCGCUUGCGAUCAGACUCGCUCGCGGGGUUCAGCCGGCCUUCGGGCCGGUGUACUUCCCCGCGGGCGGGCCAGCGUCGGUUUGGGCGGCCGGUCAAAGGCCCCUGGAAUGUAACGCCUCUCGGGGCGUCUUAUAGCCAGGGGUGCCAUGCGGCCUGCCCGGACCGAGGAACGCGCUUCGGCUCGGACGCUGGCAUAAUGGUCGUAAGCGACCCGUCUUGAAACACGGACCAAGGAGUCUAACAUCUACGCGAGUGUUCGGGUGUCAAACCCGUGCGCGCAGUGAAAGCGAACGGAGGUGGGAACCCCUCGGGGUGCACCAUCGACCGAUCCUGAUGUCUUCGGAUGGAUUUGAGUAAGAGCGUAGCUGUUGGGACCCGAAAGAUGGUGAACUAUGCCUGAAUAGGGCGAAGCCAGAGGAAACUCUGGUGGAGGCUCGCAGCGGUUCUGACGUGCAAAUCGAUCGUCAAAUUUGGGUAUAGGGGCGAAAGACUAAUCGAACCAUCU
rnacentral:rRNA from 1 species